rnacentral:rRNA from 1 species
UCUAGCAUAAGUCAGACAAGUGAACCCGCUGAA